CCUACGGGAGGCAGCAGUGAGGAAUAUUGGUCAAUGGACGAGAGUCUGAACCAGCCAAGUAGCGUGAAGGAUGACUGCCCUAUGGGUUGUAAACUUCUUUUAUAUGGGAAUAAAACGUUCCACGUGUGGGAUUUUGUAUGUACCAUAUGAAUAAGGAUCGGCUCACUCCGUGCCAGCAGCCGCGGUAAUACGGAGGAUCCGAGCGUUAUCCGGAUUUAUUGGGUUUAAAGGGAGCGUAGGUGGAUUGUUAAGUCAGUUGUGAAAGUUUGCGGCUCAACCGUAAAAUUGCAGUUGAAACUGGGAGUCUUGAGUACAGUAGAGGUGGGUGGAAUUCGUGGUGUAGCGGUGAAAUGCUUAGAUAUCACGAAGAACUCCGAUUGCGAAGGCAGCUCACUGGACUGCAACUGACACUGAGGCUCGAAAGUGUGGGUAUCAAACAGGAUUAGAUACCCUAGUAGUC
rnacentral:rRNA from 1 species